GAUGAAGAACGCAGCGAAAUGCGAUAAGUAAUGUGAAUUGCAGAAUUCAGUGAAUCAUCGAAUCUUUGAACGCAUCUUGCGCUCCUUGGUAUUCCGAGGAGCAUGCCUGUUUGAGUGUCAUUAAAUUCUCAACUACACUGAUUUUUUUUGGUUGGUGUAGAUUGGAUUUGGGGGAAUUUUUUGCGGGCUUUGUAAAAUGAAGUCGGCUCCCCUGAAAUUAAUUAGUGGUACCUUAGUAGAACUGUCUACAGGUGUGAUAAUUAUCUACAUCCUAGACAUCUGCUGGAAUGCUGCUUUCUAAACCUUACUUGUAUUGACAAUCUUGACCUCAAAUCAGGUAGGACUACCCGCUGAACUUAAGCAUAUCAAUAAGCGGAGGA
rnacentral:misc_RNA from 1 species